AAGUCGUAACAAGGUUUCCGUAGGUGAACCUGCGGAAGGAUCAUUAAAGAGAAAAGGGCUUCGGUCCUGACCUCCAACCCUUUGUUUACCUUACCACUGUUGCCCGUCGGGCGGGUCGUCGCUACGGCCCUUUCACCGGGGCGCCCGCCGUCGGCCAUUCAAAUCGCUUUCGCAGUGCCCGCCGCCAGGCCAAUCUAAAAUUCUUUGUAAACCCAGUCUUUCUGAGAGUAAAUUUAAUACUUCAAAA
rnacentral:misc_RNA from 1 species